rnacentral:lncRNA from 12 species
CAGAAAGCUGAUCAUGUAGCCAUUUUACCUGCACGGACAACCACAGGGAAUGAAACUCAGGACUCCAGCAGUGACAUCAGAACACUUAAGCUGCUCCAUCAUCACUAGUGCCAUUAUCCAGCUGAUAACAACAGACUGAUACAACACCAUUUCCUAAUAAAGAUCAGACUGUAAUGGAAGAGUACAACCAGGCCCUCGAAACAUGAGAGCAGGAGAUAAACCUUUUCCACCAUGACAUGAUGCUCCUCCACGUGUGGCAAAGCAUCACUGCUUCUGUCUUGGGGCACAAAGAGUAACCAGACUUUAUGCAGGGAAUGGACAUUAGGCUGGGGAGGAGGGGGCUUAUUCUAGUUCCAAAAGAAAGGUUUACAAAUACAGAACAAACAAAAACCUAAAAAAAUAAUCAUUUCUUGAAUGUGUAGAGCUAAUUUUUCUAAUUAAGCCAGAAUUUUCUCUCCAAGGAACUGAUAAUUGGAAACUUACAGUGACAGAUAUAGACUGAUUGUGGCAAUAAUAAACUCUGAUUAACUAUGUGUGCA